rnacentral:rRNA from 1 species
CGGAUUUAUUGGGCGUACAGGGUGCGUAGGCGGUUGUGUAAGUUUGAGGUUAAAUCCCGGAGCUCAACUCCGGUCCGCCUUGAAAACUACAUGACUAGAAUACAAGAGAGGUAAAUGGAAUUCCAUGUGUAGCGGUAAAAUGCGUAGAUAUAUGGAAGAACACCUGUGGCGAAAGCGGUUUACCAGCUUGUUAUUGACGCUGAGGCACGAAAGCGUGGGGAGCAAAUAGGAUUAGAUACCCUAGUAGUCCACGCCGUAAACGUUGAGUACUAGGUGUCGGGAAUUAUCUCGGCGCCGCAGCUAACGCAUUAAGUACUCCGCCUGAGUAGUAUGCACGCAAGUGUGAAACUCAAAGGAAUUGACGGGGACCCGCACAAGUGGUGGAGCAUGUGGUUUAAUUCGAAGCAACACGAAGAACCUUACCAGGGCUUGACAUCCAGUGCAAAGGCAUAGAGAUAUGCUGGAGGCUAACAUUGAGACAGGUGGUGCAUGGUUGUCGUCAGUUCGUGCCGUGAGGUGUUUGGUUAAGUCCAGCAACGAACGCAACCCUUGUCAUUAGUUACUAACAUUUAGUUGAGGACUCUAAUGAGACUGCUAGUGUAAGCUAGAGGAAGGUGGGGAUGACGUCAAAUCAUCAUGCCCCUUAUGUCCUGGGCUACACACGUGCUACAAUGGCUGAUACAAAGAGUCGCAAUCUCGCAAGGAGGAGCUAAUCUCAUAAAAUCAGUCUCAGUUCGGAUUGAAGGCUGCAACUCGCCUUCAUGAAGCCGGAAUCACUAGUAAUCGCGAAUCAGCUAUGUCGCGGUGAAUACGUUCUCGGGUCUUGUACACACCGCCCGUCACACCAUGAGAGUUGGUAACACCAGAAGCAGGUAG